rnacentral:rRNA from 1 species
GACGAACGCUGGCGGCGUGCUUAACACAUGCAAGUCGAACGAAGUGGCGAACGGGUGAGUAACGCGUAAUCAACCUGCCCUUCAGAGGGGGACAACAGUUGGAAACGACUGCUAAUACCGCAUACUGAAGGGGGGGUUUGCGUCGGAUUGGCUAGGUGGGGGGGCAACGGCCCACCAAGGCGAGGAUCCGUAGCCGGGUUGGGAGGGAGAACGGCAACAUUGGGAAUUGGACAAUGCCCAGACUCCUACGGGAGGCAGCAGGGGGGAAUCUUCCGACAUGGACGAAAGGCUGACGGAGCAACGCCGCGGGGGUUAUGACGGCCUUCGGGUUGUAAAGCUCUGUUAAGCGGGACGCGGUACCGGAAUAGAAAGCCACGGCUAACUACGUGCCAGCAGCCGCGGUAAUAC